rnacentral:rRNA from 1 species
AUACGGAGGAUCCGAGCGUUAUCCGGAUUUAUUGGGUUUAAAGGGUGCGCAGGCGGCCAUUUAAGUCAGCGGUUAAAUCGUGGGGCUCAACCCCAUUCUGCCGUUGAUACUGGGUGGCUUGAUUGCGGUCGAGGUUGGCGGAAUUCGUUGUGUAGCGGUGAAAUGCAUAGAUAUGACGAAGAACACCGAUUGCGUAGGCAGCUGACCAGACCGCAAAUGACGCUCAUGCACGAAAGUGCGGGGAUCGAACAGGAUUAGAUACCCUGGUAGUCCGCACAGUAAACGAUGAAUACUUGUUUUCGGCGAUAUAAUGUCGGAGGCAAAGCGAAAGCGAUAAGUAUUCCACCUGGGGAGUACGCCAGCAACGUUGAAACUCAAAUGAAUGGGCGGGG